UACGAAGGGGGCGAGCGUUGUUCGGAAUCACUGGGCGUAAAGGGUGCGCAGGUGGCUAAGUGUGUUAGGCGUGAAAGCCCGGGGCUUAACCCCGGAAUUGCACCUAAAACUACUUGGCUAGAGCAUUGGAGAGGGGAGCAGAAUUCAUGGUGUAGCAGUGAAAUGCGUAGAUAUCAUGAGGAAUACCAGAGGCGAAGGCGGCUCCCUGGACAAUUGCUGACACUCAGGCACGAAAGCGUGGGGAGCAAAAGGG
rnacentral:rRNA from 1 species